UGUCGGCCAUGUGCGUUAAACCUAAUAAGAGCAUGGCGUAACAAAAACAAUACCGUCGUUUUGUGGCUGUGGAAAACGAGUUACCAGAAGCUUGGAGAACUUGACAUGUUAAAAUGUAUUAGUGGAAAGUAUAGAGGCUCGUAAUACAGUCGUACAUAUUGACUUGUUUACAAAAAUUGAUGAUUUUAAAUUGUGAAGGGGAAGCUUAUUUUAAACAUCUAAUUAUGCAGCAAGAUACAUUAACACGUUUUGGAUUUUCAUUGUUAAAAAAAAAGAGCAAAAUUAAAAAGGAGAUGGAAGAAAGUAAAGCUUUAUGACUUCAGCGGAUCUAGAGCAAUUGAAGUAAACAUAUCUAGCCGAAAUUUAACUUAGUAAAUUGAUUAAGAUAGGUUUCUGUAAAGGAGAUCUAUGAUAUUCAAAAUGCGGCAAUAUUUCUUAGGGCUUAUGGCGCAAAAAGGUGCUAUACAAAAUUGCCAGCACGAGAUAACAUUGAAGAUUUGGCAGUUUUGUAAUGUAACGCUAAUCUUUAUUAAACAAUAAUAUAAUACGAAAUCGCAACUUUUAUGUGGUUUUGACCGUUUCUUUGGCAGGGAAUUUGAAUUCGUUUCUUAGUUUUUGAACGAUAUCUGAUCAACGAGUUUGUUUAUUUUAAUUUUUUUAAACGGCUGCUUUAUGGUAAUGGACCAAGAUUGCUCCAGCACCUUAAAAAUACAGCACUAGUAUAUAUAUUUCGGUCGCCAUAUCAAUAAAUUACUUGAUUCAGGUGCCGAAGUAAUAAGUACUUAGGAUGAAUGUACUAGAUGAA